UACAGAGGUCUCAAGCGUUGUUCGGAUUCAUUGGGCGUAAAGGGUGUGUAGGUGGCGCGUUAAGUCGGGGGUGAAAUCCUGGAGCUCAACUCCAGAACUGCCUUCGAUACUGGCGAUCUCGAGUUCGGGAGAGGUGAGUGGAACUGCGAGUGUAGAGGUGAAAUUCGUAGAUAUUCGCAAGAACACCAGUGGCGAAGGCGGCUCACUGGCCCGGUACUGACGCUGAGGUGCGAAGGCGUGGGGAGCAAACAGG
rnacentral:rRNA from 1 species